CUGGAACAGAAGAUACGGCAGGAAAUUGUGGAGGAAGCAGAGCAUGGAAUGGGACCAGUACCCCUUUAAGAUGAUCCAUACUCUUCCUAAAAAGCAAUCGCCAGCAAUUACUAAUGUGACAAUGUACAGCAACAUUAGCUACAAGCAAGGUGAAAUCUAGACAAACAUUCCCCAUUUUUUUCUCUUGUGGACAGAUAGGACUGCUUUGUUCAAUUAUAGUUUUGCACACUAUGGCUCUUCUUUGGGCAUAAUAUUUACAGUUGUAAAUCAAUAGGUGCUGGGGAGGGUGUCUUUAU